rnacentral:rRNA from 1 species
GCGUAACGCGUAUGCAAUCUACCUUCANAGAGGGAUAGCCCAGAGAAAUUUGGAUUAAUACCUCAUAGUAUAGCAGUUUCGCAUGAAACCACUAUUAAAGUUCCAACGGUGAAAGACGAGCAUGCGUCCCAUUAGCUAGAUGGUAAGGUAACGGCUUACCAUGGCUACGAUGGGUAGGGGUCCUGAGAGGAGAUCCCCCACACUGGUACUGAGACACGGACCAGACUCCUACGGGAGGCAGCAGUGAGGAAUAUUGGUCAAUGGACGCAAGUCUGAACCAGCCAUGCCGCGUGCAGGAUGACGGUCCUAUGGAUUGUAAACUGCUUUUGUACGAGAAGAAACAACAUUACGUGUAAUGUCUUGACGGUAUCGUAAGAAUAAGGAUCGGCUAACUCCGUG